rnacentral:ncRNA from 1 species
UUAAUUCGAUGCAAAGCGAAGAACCUUACCAGGGCUUGACAUGCCGUGAAUCCUCUUGAAAGAGAGGAGUGCCUUCGGGAACACGGACACAGGUGGUGCAUGGUUAUCGUCAGCUCGUGCCAUGAGGUGUUGGGUUAAGUCCCGCAACGAGCGCAACCCUUGUGUUUAGUUGUGAACGUUUAGUACCCUGAACAGACUGCCGGUGAUAUGUAACAGCCCGUUUUCCCAACAUAAAAAUUUCUUUUAAAUAAUCAGAGUA